rnacentral:rRNA from 1 species
GCUUAUGGCCAUGCCAGCCUGAGUGGGCCUCAUCUUGGAAGCUAAGCAGGGUUGGGACUGGUAGAUACUUGGAUGGUAGACUGCCUGGGAAUACCAGGUUCUGUAAGCU